GGGAGGGUGGUCUAGCUUGGUAUGAUACAUAAUUUGUCAUUCAGCCAAAUUAGCCGAAUCGGCUGGGGGCCGAGUGGUCGCGGGUUCGAAUCCCGUCCCUCCCA
rnacentral:tRNA from 1 species